rnacentral:rRNA from 1 species
UAGGGAAUCUUCGGCAAUGGGGGGAACCCUGACCGAGCAACGCCGCGUGAGUGAAGAAGGUUUUCGGAUCGUAAAGCUCUGUUGUUAAGGAAGAACGAGUGUGAGAAUGGAAAGUUCAUGCUGUGACGGUACUUAACCAGAAAGGGACGGCUAACUACGUGCCAGCAGCCGCGGUAAUACGUAGGUCCCGAGCGUUGUCCGGAUUUAUUGGGCGUAAAGCGAGCGCAGGCGGUUAGAAAAGUCUGAAGUGAAAGGCAGUGGCUCAACCAUUGUAGGCUUUGGAAACUGUUUAACUUGAGUGCAGAAGGGGAGAGUGGAAUUCCAGGUGUAGCGGUGAAAUGCGUAGAUAUAUAGAGGAACACCGGUGGCGAAGGCGGCUCUCUGGUCUGUAACUGACGCUGAGGCUCGAAGGCGUGGGGAGCGAACAGG